CAUUAGAUAACUUAAAGCAAGUAAUGGUCUCUUAAACCACCUAAUAGUAAAGUAGCGUCUACUUCUAAUGA
rnacentral:tRNA from 1 species